CCGUUAUCUUGAUGAUAUUUUUUCGUUAAAUAAUCAAGAAUUUUCUCAAUAUACUGCUGAAAUUUACUCCAAGGAACUUACUUUAAAUAAAUCAAAUUUAUUCGGUAAUAACUGUCCUUUCCUGGAUUUAGAUAUUUCGGUUUUAAAUGGGAAACUCCACACUAAAAUUUACGACAAAAGAGACGAUUUUUCGUUCCCUAUUGUUAAUUUUCCAUUUUUAGAUGGUGAUGUUCCUUUGGCACCAUCUUACGGUGUUUAUAUUUCACAACUUGUUCGCUAUGCCCGUAUAUGUUGUGACGUUUUUGAUUUUAACGAACGCAACCUAUGUCUUACUGGUAAAUUAUUAAACCAGGGAUAUCGUUACCAUAAAUUACUGAAAACCUUUACUAAAUUUUUCCAUAGAUAUAAAGAUUUGGUUUUGAAGUUUGGAUGUACCUGUAGAAAACUUAUUUCAAACGGGAUAGCACAUCCUCAUUUUUACGGAAAUGUUGUUAACCGUGCCCGGAAAUUUAGAAAUGAUCCAUGUAAACUUGUCGCUCCUUUAAAAAAACUUAUUCUAAAAGGUUACCUAUUCAACACCG
rnacentral:lncRNA from 1 species